rnacentral:lncRNA from 1 species
UUCCGGUAGAUAAUAUUGUUACUCGAUAGGGUCCUGUAUACUGUAGUCUUUCCAACAUGAAAUCUUCUGGCCACGCGGCAGUAAUC